GGAAGGUGAAACACAGCAGAUUGCAAAUUUGAAGAAGCACCCAGAAAGGUGCCCCGGCU
rnacentral:tRNA from 1 species